UUCUUACAUCUUUCUCAUUUGUUUCAUUUACAUAAAACAGAAGGGAGAGAGAGAGUCAUCAGACUCUCUCAAUUUCUUAUAACCGGAGAGAAAGCCGCCGUUCGCCGGUGGAAUCCACGGCGGUACAUGGCGGCGUCCGGUGGUCGGAGCAAACCGAAAAUCACUAAAACCUUCCUUAUUUUAUCCUCUACCCAAAAAACACCUUAUUUUAGCCUACAAAUAACCCAAAAACCGUAGAUCUGGAUUAUUGCCUUCGAAAGAAGUGAAGAACACAACAACUUUCAAGCUUCCACGGCCAGCUUUAAAGCUUCUCAAUGGCUUUGAAUCUCCACUAGAGAGAGUCAUCGGACUCUCUCAAUUCUCUUAUAACCGGAGAGAAAGCCGCCGUUCGCCGGUGGAAUCUACGGCGGUACAUGGCGGCGUCCGGUGGUCGGAGCAAACCGAAAAUCACUAAAACCUUCCUUAUUUUAUCCUCUACCCAAAAAAACACCUUAUUUUAGCCUACAAAUAACCCAAAACCCGUAGAUCUGGAUUAUUGCCUUCGAAAGAAGUGAAGAACACAACAACUUUCAAGCUUCCACGGCCAGCUUUAAAGCUUCUCAAUGGCUUUGAAUCUCCACUAGGGAGCUCAAUUCUCUUAUAAUCGGAGAGAAGAUCGCCGUUCGCCGGUGGAAUCCACGGCGGUACAUGGCGGCGUCCGGUGGUCGGAGCAAACCGAAAAUCACCAAAACCUUCCUUAUUUUAUCAUCUACCUAAAAAACACCUUAUUUUAACCUACAAAUAACCCAAAACCCGUAGAUCUGGAUUAUUACCUUCGAAAGAAGUGAAGAACAUGACAACUUUCAAGCUUUCACGGCCAGCUUUAAAGCUUCCCAAUGGCUUUGAAUCUCCACUGUGCUAUUUGACGUAGGCAAUGACUACAUUCGAUGGCUCUGCUCGAUGAUUCAAUGGCUCGGCGUUGGUGGCGACGAGAGCAGCUUGACGGCGGCUGGAGUUGAAGUGUUUGGCGGCUGCUGUCUUUAGUUUAGGGUUUAGAAAGUUUAGGGUUUAGAAACCCUAAUUUUUGUAGAGUUGCUGAGUUGGGCCUCUUUCGGGUCGGAUUAGCAGCUUAGGUUUGUAUUGAACAGAUGGGCUAGGUUUUUGCUGUAUUAAACUUCAUUUGUGGACCUGUAAACAUUACAAAAUAC